AUUUUUUAGAUCAUAAAUGCAGUUGCUUUGCAGAAAACUUUAAUACAAAGGAAGAGAGACCCGGAUGCAUUAUGGCCAUCAUGGUACUUGCCCACUUAUUUAGCGAGUUAUGCUCUCAAUGGUGGUAUUGAUUCUCGCACUUGAGUCAAGCAUUAUGGUGGAUCUAGUCGAUACACAGGGAUACUCAAAGAAUUGGAACGGGUGUACAUCUAAAUCAAUGAUAACAACAUUCACUAGUUUAUGUGUGUCGUAAACUUUAAACAUGCAGUUGUAUAAGUACUUGAUUCAUUACCUUUUCUGAGCAAACCCAAAGUACAGAAUGAGAAGGUCCUGUGUGUGCUUUAAUACUUGGAUGAUGUAAUUCAACACUUGGGGAAUAAUGGAUGUGUCAUGAAAGCACAUAAGCUACCAAUUAAAAGACUGAAAUGGCUUCCAGUUCAAGAACCAGGUAGUGAUGAUUGUGGUGUGCACACUGCCAAGUACUUUGAUUUUGAGCAAUUUAAUGAGGAAAAAGCCGCUAAGUUGAAAUUCACUUCUGAAGAGGGUAGGAACAACUUGGUUUUGGACUUGAUCCUUUGUAGGGAUAACAUAAUCAGGAAUGAAGUCAUCCGAAAGGCUCAAGAAAAAUACUGCAACACUAAAAGGAUAAUUUGAUACCAAUUGUAGUUCUUUUUUUUGACAAACG